GAGAGCCAAAUGAAUCGAAAGGUUCAUGUUUGGUUCGGGAAGGGAUUAGGUAAGUUUUAAAAUGAACAGAAAGAGAAUCUACUUUCAU
rnacentral:ncRNA from 1 species